AGAGCAUCACUUGCUUAUUGCCAGCUGUUUCUCCUUAUCUAUUUUCAGGGAUGGAGCUAAGCCAAAGAAGCUUAGUUUUCUGGAUCCCAGAUUUGCUUAGUCCCUUCGAAUGUCACCAACAACAUCAUGAGAUGUUUCUGUUUCUCUGCUAUUGUUUUCCAAGUUUUCAGCUACUCAUGGUCAACUGGUAUCUGACAACAAAAUGAUGGAAAGUCGUCAGUUUCUAGUCUUGGUCUGAAGAUACUUAAGUCCACUUCAGUCUAUUGGGAAAUUUGCUCUUGAAAACCAGGGCAGCAGUUAUCAUCCACAGAGAAGAUGUUAGCCAGGCCAGCUAUCAGACAGUGAGCAGGUCAUCUCACUACGCAUGCCACUCCAGUUCCAGUGGGACAGAAGCCACAUUAGAAACGAGAUGAUCUGUCCCUGCUACUUCCACCCAAGCUGCAAGUUUCAUGAGCAAAAGGGUUGGAAGAUCAGCAUGAUUGGAUUGGAGCUGAAAGCUAUAACACAAGACCCUGCUCCCUCGGCAGACAUUUAAGAAACACUUUCCAACCUCGGCUGCCUUCUGCAUUCCCAUGGGAAGAGGAGAGUGUGGCGCUCACAGCCACUCUCAGGAUGAGCAAGGCUAGGUAAGGAAUU
rnacentral:lncRNA from 1 species